ACCUGGCAAGGAGCUUCAGGGGAUGCCUUGAGAUACUUCACCAAAAACGAAGCUGAUUCCCUUGACUGUCAUCUUCUUAUGUUCUUGCACUGAUGCUGCCUUAAAUUCAGACUUAAACAAGGCUGUAUCUGAGGAGUUAUGUAUACAA